GGGGAAUUUUCCGCAAUGGGCGAAAGCCUGACGGAGCAAUACCGCGUGCGGGAGGAAGGCCCUUGGGUUGUAAACCGCUUUUCUCAGGGAAGAAGCUCUGACGGUACCUGAGGAAUCAGCAUCGGCUAACUCCGUGCCAGCAGCCGCGGUAAUACGGAGGAUGCAAGCGUUAUCCGGAAUUAUUGGGCGUAAAGCGUCCGCAGGUGGUUGAGCAAGUCUGCUGUUAAAGCGUGGAGCUUAACUCCAUCACGGCGGUGGAAACUGCUCGACUUGAGUAUGGUAGGGGUUGCGGGAAUUCCCAGUGUAGCGGUGAAAUGCGUAGAUAUUGGGAAGAACACCAGCGGCGAAGGCGCGCAACUGGGCCAUUACUGACACUCAUGGACGAAAGCUAGGGGAGCGAAAGGGAUUAGAUACCCCUGUAGUCCUAGCUGUAAACGAUGGGCACUAGGUGUUGCACGUAUCGACCCGUGCAGUGCCGUAGCCAACGCGUUAAGUGCCCCGCCUGGGGAGUACGCACGCAAGUGUGAAACUCAAAGGAAUUGACGGGGGCCCGCACAAGCGGUGGAGUAUGUGGUUUAAUUCGAUGCAACGCGAAGAACCUUACCAGGGCUUGACAUGUCCAGAACCUCCUUGAAAGGGGAGGGUGCCUUCGGGAGCUGGAGCACAGGUGGUGCAUGGCUGUCGUCAGCUCGUGUCGUGAGAUGUUGGGUUAAGUCCCGCAACGAGCGCAACCCUCGUUUCUAGUUGCCAUCAUUCAGUUGGGCACUUUAGAGAGACUGCCGGUGACAAACCGGAGGAAGGUGGGGAUGACGUCAAGUCAGCAUGCCCCUUACGUCCUGGGCUACACACGUACUACAAUGCUGGGGACAAAGAGCUGCAAGCCUGCGAAGGUUAGCUAAUCUCAUAAACCCCGGCUCAGUUCAGAUUGCAGGCUGCAACUCGCCUGCAUGAAGGCGGAAUCGCUAGUAAUCGCAGGUCAGCAUACUGCGGUGAAUACGUUCCCGGGCCUUGUACACACCGCCCGUCACACCAUGGGAGUUGGCCACGCCCGAAGUCGUUACUCUAACCGCAAGGAGGAGGGCGCCGAAGGCAGGGCUGAUGACUGGGGUGAAGUCGUAACAAGGUAGCCGUACCGGAAGGUGUGGCUGGAUCACCUCCUU
rnacentral:rRNA from 1 species